UGUGGCAUAACUUCGUAGCUUCAUAAUGCAUGCUUCGUAUCCAAAUGUCUAGCACCUAGGCCUGCCUACUUUAUUGGCGUUUUGAAACAUUUUUA